rnacentral:rRNA from 1 species
GAUGAACGCUGGCGGCGUGCUUAACACAUGCAAGUCGAACGGAAGGGCCCUGCUUUUGUGGGGCGCACGUGUGCGGAACGCGUGAGUAACACGCGUGUAACCUGUCCUUGACUGUGUGGUAACAUUUGGAGACUGGGGCGCAUACCGCAGAGAAGCUCCUGCUGCGUGUUGUUGGUUGGAAAGAGUCGGCGGUGGGGGCUGGACUCGGGGUGUAUUAGCUGGUUGGGAAGGUAGUGGCUUACCAAGGCUGCGACGGGUAGCCGACCUGAGAGGGUGAUCGGCCGCCCGGGAGCUGAGACACGGUCCAGGCUCCUACGGGAGGCAGCAGUAGGGAAUCUUCCGCAAUGGGCGAAAGCCUGACGGAGCAACGCCGCGUGAGUGAUGAAGGUCUUCGGAUCGUAAAACUCUGUUAUUAGGGAAGAACAUAUGUGGAAGUAACUGUGCACAUCUUGACGGUACCUAAUCAGAAAGCAACGGCUAACUACGUG